UACGAAUGGGGCGAGCGUUGUUCGGAAUCACUGGGCUUAAAGAGUACGUAGGCGGAUUGGCAAGUCAGAAGUGAAAGCCCAGGGCUCAACCCUGGAAUUGCUUUUGAAACUGCAAGUCUAGAGUCCCGGAGAGGUUGGCGGAAUUCCGAGUGUAGAGGUGAAAUUCGCAGAUAUUCGGAGGAACACCAGUGGCGUAGGCGGCCAACUGGACGGGAACUGACGCUGAGGUACGAAAGCGUGGGGAGCAAACAGG
rnacentral:misc_RNA from 1 species